GGGAGAUGGCCGAGUGGUUAAUGGCAGCAGACUGUAAAUCUGCCGGCGUAUGCCUACGGAGGUUCGAAUCCUUCUCUCCCC
rnacentral:tRNA from 1 species